rnacentral:rRNA from 1 species
AGAGUUUGAUCCUGGCUCAGGACGAACGCUGGCGGCGUGCCUAACACAUGCAAGUCGAACGAAGCUUGAAUUCAGAUUUUUUCGGAAUGACGAAUGAUAUGACUGAGUGGCGGACGGGUGAGUAACGCGUGAGCAACCUGCCCUUCGGAACGGGAUAGUGUCUGGAAACGGACAGUAAUACCGUAUAACAUAUAUUGAUCGCAUGGUUGAUAUAUCAAAACUGAGGUGCCGAAGGAUGGGCUCGCGUCUGAUUAGAUAGUUGGUGGGGUAACGGCCUACCAAGUCGACGAUCAGUAGCCGGACUGAGAGGUUGAACGGCCACAUUGGGACUGAGACACGGCCCAGACUCCUACGGGAGGCAGCAGUGGGGAAUAUUGCGCAAUGGGGGCAACCCUGACGCAGCAACGCCGCGUGCAGGAAGAAGGUCUUCGGAUUGUAAACUGUUGUCGCAAGGGAAGAAGACAGUGACGGUACCUUGUGAGAAAGUCACGGCUAACUACGUGCCAGCAGCCGCGGUAAUACGUAGGUGACAAGCGUUGUCCGGAUUUACUGGGUGUAAAGGGCGCGUAGGCGGACUGUCAAGUCAGUCGUGAAAUACCGGGGCUUAACCCCGGGGCUGCGAUUGAAACUGACAGCCUUGAGUAUCGGAGAGGAAAGCGGAAUUCCUAGUGUAGCGGUGAAAUGCGUAGAUAUUAGGAGGAACACCAGUGGCGAAGGCGGCUUUCUGGACGACAACUGACGCUGAGGCGCGAAAGUGUGGGGAGCAAACAGGAUUAGAUACCCUGGUAGUCCACACCGUAAACGAUGGAUACUAGGUGUAGGAGGUAUCGACCCCUUCUGUGCCGCAGUUAACACAAUAAGUAUCCCACCUGGGGAGUACGACCGCAAGGUUGAAACUCAAAGGAAUUGACGGGGGCCCGCACAAGCAGUGGA